rnacentral:lncRNA from 1 species
GCUCCACCAGCCACUUAGCUUUGUUUCCCUCCUCAAUGCUUUCAAAGGACGUGUGCAGUCUCCGUAAAGCAGCAAAAAGAUUAUAUUGGGCCUCUCGAAAGAAGGAAAAUUUGAAAAAAAAUUAUCUUCAUAUGGAAAUGGGCCCCGGAGACCAGAUGGAUGGUGAUGGCACAGAGAGAGCCUGUGCGUGUGCGGGGCGAGGACGUGUUUUAACUCUGAGCAGCGCUGGAUUUGUGGUGAUGUUGUAACUCCUAACCCAUGAUUUAUGAGUGGUUUUUGACUUAGAAAAGCAUGUUCUCUCUGCCCGGACUAACAGAAUGCUCAAGCCUGGCGGAGGCACCCCGGAAGGCUCACGCACCCGGCCCCUCUGUCCGGACACCCCCAUAGGCCUGACUCCCCUGUGGCCCCGUUUCCCCAGCUCACCAGCCGGAGGCUGGUGGAAGAACAGAAAAUGCCCACAAGAAAAAUUCGAGUGAUGACCAUGUUGCCACGGGAAUGAGCCAGUCCUGAACCCGGCCUGUCUGCCACGCCCAGCACUGUCGCCAGGAUGCAGGUUCCAGCAGCUCCCUUAAAGGGAACGCAAGAAAGGCUGCCAGUGUCACUCCGGGCGGUGCUGGGGAAUCCCUGGAGUUGGCACUGGGCUUCUCCACCAUCACCAGAUGGAAGACAUAAGGUUAAAAGACGUCCAGAUCCAUUUUAGAGACGAUUGAAGUGA